GCAAGUCGAACGAACUUCCGUUAAUUGAUCAGGACGUGCUUGCACUGAAUGAGAUUUUAACACGAAGUGAGUGGCGGACGGGUGAGUAACACGUGGGUAACCUGCCCAGAAGCAGGGGAUAACACCUGGAAACAGAUGCUAAUACCGUAUAACAGAGAAAACCGCCUGGUUUUCUUUUAAAAGAUGGCUCUGCUAUCACUUCUGGAUGGACCCGCGGCGCAUUAGCUAGUUGGUGAGGUAACGGCUCACCAAGGCGAUGAUGCGUAGCCGACCUGAGAGGGUAAUCGGCCACAUUGGGACUGAGACACGGCCCAGACUCCUACGGGAGGCAGCAGUAGGGAAUCUUCCACAAUGGACGCAAGUCUGAUGGAGCAACGCCGCGUGAGUGAAGAAGGGUUUCGGCUCGUAAAGCUCUGUUGUUAAAGAAGAACGUGGGUGAGAGUAACUGUUCACCCAGUGACGGUAUUUAACCAGAAAGCCACGGCUAACUACGUGCCAGCAGCCGCGGUAAUACGUAGGUGGCAAGCGUUAUCCGGAUUUAUUGGGCGUAAAGCGAGCGCAGGCGGUCUUUUAAGUCUAAUGUGAAAGCCUUCGGCUCAACCGAAGAAGUGCAUUGGAAACUGGGAGACUUGAGUGCAGAAGAGGACAGUGGAACUCCAUGUGUAGCGGUGAAAUGCGUAGAUAUAUGGAAGAACACCAGUGGCGAAGGCGGCUGUCUGGUCUGUAACUGACGCUGAGGCUCGAAAGCAUGGGUAGCGAACAGGAUUAGAUACCCUGGUAGUCCAUGCCGUAAACGAUGAUUACUAAGUGUUGGAGGGUUUCCGCCCUUCAGUGCUGCAGCUAACGCAUUAAGUAAUCCGCCUGGGGAGUACGACCGCAAGGUUGAAACUCAAAAGAAUUGACGGGGGCCCGCACAAGCGGUGGAGCAUGUGGUUUAAUUCGAAGCUACGCGAAGAACCUUACCAGGUCUUGACAUCUUCUGCCAACCUAAGAGAUUAGGCGUUCCCUUCGGGGACAGAAUGACAGGUGGUGCAUGGUUGUCGUCAGCUCGUGUCGUGAGAUGUUGGGUUAAGUCCCGCAACGAGCGCAACCCUUAUUACUAGUUGCCAGCAUUCAGUUGGGCACUCUAGUGAGACUGCCGGUGACAAACCGGAGGAAGGUGGGGACGACGUCAAAUCAUCAUGCCCCUUAUGACCUGGGCUACACACGUGCUACAAUGGAUGGUACAACGAGUCGCGAAACCGCGAGGUUUAGCUAAUCUCUUAAAACCAUUCUCAGUUCGGACUGUAGGCUGCAACUCGCCUACACGAAGUCGGAAUCGCUAGUAAUCGCGGAUCAGCAUGCCGCGGUGAAUACGUUCCCGGGCCUUGUACACACCGCCCGUCACACCAUGAGAGUUUGUAACAUCCAAAGCCGGUGGGGUAACCUUU
rnacentral:rRNA from 1 species